CCUACGGGAGGCAGCAGUGGGGAAUCUUGGGCAAUGGGCGCAAGCCUGACCCAGCAACGCCGCGUGAAGGAAGAAGGCCCUCGGGUUGUAAACUUCUUUUAUCAAGGACGAAACAAAUGACGGUACUUGAUGUAUAAGCCACGGCUAACUACGUGCCAGCAGCCGCGGUAAUACGUAGGGGGCAAGCGUUAUCCGGAUUUACUGGGUGUAAAGGGCGUGUAGGCGGGACUGUAAGUCAGAUGUGAAAACGAUGGGCUCAAACCAAGGCCUGGAUUUGAAACUGGAGUACUUGAGUGUUGGAGAGGCAGGGUGAAGUCCGUGGGUAGGGGGGAAAUGUGUAGAUAUACGGAGGAACAACAGGGGGGAAGGCGGCCUGCUGGACAAUAACUGACGCUGGGGCGCGAAAGCGUGGGGAGGAAACAGGAUUAGGUACCCUUGUAGUC
rnacentral:rRNA from 1 species